CCUACGGGAGGCAGCAGUGGGGAAUCUUGCGCAAUGCGCGAAAGCGUGACGCAGCAACGCCGCGUGAGGGAAGACGGCCUUCGGGUUGUAAACCUCUUUCAGUUGGGACGAAGCCACGGCGGUUAAUACCCGUCUGUGGUGACGGUACCUUCAGAAGAAGCCCCGGCUAACUACGUGCCAGCAGCCGCGGUAAUACGUAGGGGGCAAGCGUUGUCCGGAAUCAUUGGGCGUAAAGCGCGUGUAGGCGGCUUGGUAAGUCCGCUCUGAAAGCCCGGGGCUCAACCCCGGGAGGCGGGUGGAUACUGUCAAGCUCGAGUCCGGAAGAGGCGAGUGGAAUUCCUGGUGUAGCGGUGAAAUGCGCAGAUAUCAGGAGGAACACCAAUGGCGAAGGCAGCUCGCUGGGACGUGACUGACGCUGAGACGCGAAAGCGUGGGGAGCAAACAGGAUUAGAUACCCUGGUAGUCCACGCCGUAAACGAUGGGCACUAGGUGUGGGAGGUGUCGACUCCUCCCGUGCCGAAGCUAACGCAUUAAGUGCCCGCCGUGGGGAGUACGGCCGCAAGGCUAAAACGUCAAAUUGAAUUGACGG
rnacentral:rRNA from 1 species